rnacentral:rRNA from 1 species
UACGAAGGGGGCUAGCGUUGUUCGGAAUUACUGGGCGUAAAGCGCACGUAGGCGGAUAUUUAAGUCAGGGGUGAAAUCCCGCAGCUCAACUGCGGAACUGCCUUUGAUACUGGGUAUCUUGAGUAUGGAAGAGGUAAGUGGAAUUCCGAGUGUAGAGGUGAAAUUCGUAGAUAUUCGGAGGAACACCAGUGGCGAAGGCGGCUUACUGGUCCAUUACUGACGCUGAGGUGCGAAAGCGUGGGAAGCAAACAGG